UCUCAAAAUACAGCGAUAGCAGAAAUAGUAUUUAACCCUGUAAGCCGGAAACGAGGCUACAUUUACAUCAAGUCAGCGGCCAUAUUGGAAGAAAACAAAAGAAAAAUAGGGUGUAGCACCGAUACUAAAUGUCCGAAAUAGAUAAAGCCAUAUCAAAACUGGGAUAGGAACCAGUGUGGCAGUUGGCAUAACAUAACAUAGCUGGUUGGGAGCUGUUAGUAACGUUCACAAGAAAGUGGGUCACCAGACAGUGAGCGCACAUUGAGUUCUGUGAUUUACGAAAGCAUCUGCAGAGACUGGCGUGAGUGCCUUGUGUUGUGUAGUCGUAGCCUCCGUGUCCCUUGCCCGCACGCUAUCUACCCAGCAUGCCUUUUACUCAGAAGUCUGAGCAGGUGAUCAAGAAGAAGAAUGAGCGAGAUGCACUUGACCGCCACUAUCGCAUGAACAGACAGAAAGUAUCUGUCACGUUGAAAGACAUGAUCAACUUCUGUCGGCAGCACCAGAUGGAAGACCCGCUCAUCUUCCCAGUGCGAGAAAACCCUUUUAAGGAGAAGAAGACUUGCCAGAUAUUGUAGACCCUUGCAACUGCUUCGGGUGGACUUAUGUUGUCGUGUCUUCCCCCAUCCAGUCACUGUUAUUUUGUAGACUUCAAGUGCUUUCCAUUGUUGUGUUUCUAUUUUCAGUUCAGUUUAUUUCUAACAAGCAUGAGAAUUCCUAUGUUCAACAUUUAUUUACGAAUUAUUAGUUGCCUGAUUUUUAUGUCCCCCACUAUAGUAGUGGGGGACAUAUUGUUUUUGCCCUGUCUGUUGGGUCUGUUGGUUGGUUGGUUGGUCUGUUGGUUGGUUUGCGCCAACUUUAACAUUUGCAAUAACUUUUGCAAUAUUGAAGAUAGCAACUUGAUAUUUGGCAUGCAUAUGUAUCUCAUGGAGCUGCACAUUUUGAGUGGUGAAAGGACAAGGUCAUCCUUCAAGGUCAAAGGUCAAAUAUAUGGGUCAAAAUCGCUCAUUUAAUGUACACUUUUGCAGUAUUUCAAUAUUCAAGAUAGCAACUUGAUAUUUGGCAUGCAUGUGUAUCUCAUGGAGCUGCACAUUUUGAGUGGUGAAAGGUCAAGGUCAUCCUUCAAGGUCAGAGGUCAAAAUUAUGUGGACAAAAUCGCUUAUUUUAUGAAUACUUUUGCAAUAUUGAAGAUAUUUGGCAUGCAUGUGUAUCUCAUGGAGCUGCACAUUUUGAGUGGUGAAAGGUCAAGGUCAUCCUUCAAGGUCAAAUAUAUGGGUCAAAAUUGCUCAUGUAAUGUCACUUCUGCAAUAUUGAAGCUAGCAAUUUUAUAUUUGAAAUGCAUGUGUAUCUCAUGGAGCUGCACAUUUUGAGUCGUGAAGGGUCAAGGUCAAGGUCAUCCUUCAAGGUCAAACGUCAUAUAGGGGGACAUUGUGUUUCACAAACACAUCUUGUUAAAUUUUGUUUGUUGUUCCUGUAUUGAAGUAAUCACACAUAUUACACAUAUAACCACCGGUGUAAUAGUACAACUGAUAUCUGACCAAAACAAUUGAGCUAUUGUGUUUAAGUUUUGGACCAAAGAAAUCUUAAAAUUGACUUAUUAUUUAAAUCUCUUGACAAUAUUAACCCCAUGGCUGUGCAACUAUUCCAUGACAAACCAUCUUUUUGCCGUAUCAUUACAGGGUGGCUGGCUUUGAAAAUAUGAUUAAAGCAUAACUCAAUCAAAGUUUAUAUGAUGAAAUGUUAAAUGUGUUUGAUUUUUGUGAACAGUGUUUAAUUCAACUGAAGUACUAAAGAAUGUGUUUGUGAAAAUUUAAACUACUAGUAUGAUUUGAAAAAAUAAUCAGGCAUCUUUAUGUCACAAAAUCAUUUGUAAAGAAAAUUUCUUGUUAACAUCCAAUUAUGAGGGGGUUUUGCCGUUAGUGACCAGUUCAUGUAAAGAUUGUAAUCAAUAUUGUUAAUAAUACGAAAUCUAUAGUCCUUCAAAUGCACUGAGACAUUUUGUAAAUUUUGCUUUGUUGAAAACAGCUCUUCAAAUCUUAAAUUAAACAGGUUCUUUCUAUUUGCUUUUCAUUUUACUGAUUGUAUAAUUUGAAACAAAUAGUAAAAUAAUUUUAAAACCUUUUUUACUAUUCGUGGUGCUUCAUGUUCAGGCGGCCAUUGGAUUCAUAGAGCAUCAAGUGUAUCCAUUCCUGUAUCACUUCCAUAAUGAUGUUGGUGCUGUUAAGGGUAUAUUUGACAAUAAAUUUUGUAUUAUUCUUCAAUCUUGAGGAUUAAACUAUUUAUUUGUUUCUUUAAAUGGCGUUGAGUCAGAAUUUGUAUUCGUAAUUUUUUGUUGAGUAUUUAUUUGAAGGUUUAGGCAUUACAACUUACAGACUUUAUGGUAAAUAAUAUUUGUAUGCCCCCGGAUCGAAAGAUCGGGGGUAUAUUGUUUUUGGCCUGUCUGUCUGUCUGUCAUUGUUUCAGUCAUUGUAUGUGUGUGUCACAAAACUUUAAGUUUGGUUAAACUUUUAUAGCUUUUGCAAUAUUGAAGAUAGAAACUUCAUAUUUGGCAUGCAUGCAUGUGUAUCUCAUGGAGCUGCACAUUUUGAGUUGUGAAAAGUCAAGGUCAAGGUCGUCCUUCAAGGUCAAAGGUCAAAUAUCAUUGUAUUUUUUGUUCCUAAAACUUUAACCUUCGUUAAAGUUUGGUCAUAACUUUUUGAAUAUUGAAGAUAGCAACUUGAUAUUUGGCAUGCAUGUGUAUUAUGGAGCUGCACAUUUUGAGUGGCUAAAGGUCAAGGUCAUCUUUCAAGGUCAAGGGUCAAAUUUAUGGCUUCAAAGCGGUGCAAUAGGGGGCAUUGUGUUUCUGACAAACACAUCUCUUGUACAUUUAGGUGUAAUCUGAAAGAUAUGUUGACUUUUUAAAUAAAAAUUCUUUACAUUGACUUGUAGUUGCCUGAACAAAAUAAGCAUUCAAACUCUGCUUUGAGCAAAAUCGUUGAUUAUUUGUGGUGUUUUAUUCCGUGUCUUUUUGUUGCAAAAAAAGACAUAAAGUAAGGUAUCCAUGUACCAUUUCCAUUUUCUAUUGUGUGUAUGGUACGUGAAUGGCGUUCAACAGACAUCGAUAUCAUAAUAUUGGCGGUUAUGAACAGAAACCACGUGAACCACUGAACUCGUGUAUUUCUGAUAGAAUCAUGACUGAAUCAUGAAGAUGCGAGUCGAUUGACAUAUAGUUUUCCCGACAUUGCCAUUGGCAAUGAUGUAUUUGGAGACCGGACACCAAGCAUGUUUACUAACACGCUCCAAUUCAUCAAAACGUAUGAAGAUUGGUUUCAAAAACCGUUUCACUUACUUAACAAAAUUACCUUAACAUAGUUUUUCAGCCUCAUUAACAAGGAGUUGCGAAUUUCAUCAUCUUUGUAAUCUUUGACAUCUUGGUUAAAGCCAAUGAAUUACGCAAGUGUUCUUUCGCUUGAUGCUUUCAAACAAUUAUGCCUACCUCUGCACAGUCCAUAACAUAGAAACUGUUAAUAAUUCAGAAGCCGUAACUAUCGAUUUUUGUGAUCAAUAUGUUACGCGUGUGUCAAUACAUUGUUACUACCGAAUAACAAACCGUUAAAGAGCCUCGCACAGUAUAUCAUUUUGUGCCAAUCAAUACGUUACCUACUACUUUUCCAUUCCUGUUAAAGAUGUAAAGUGACGGGUACUUUUCUGUCAGUUCGUACCUCUGCUUUAAAAUCAAUUCCUGCCAGAUGUAGUGACACUGCCGACAAGAGGUAGAUUCAAUAGUUAUGCAUUCGCUGGUGUUGGUUGUUCUAAAUUAGUGACUCGCAUGUCCUGACUUUCUGUCUUACGCAUGCUCACUUAAGUAACGCUGCAUCAGUUGUGAAUUGCAUUAGGUCCGUGGAUUUUAUAUAAUCUGAAACUGAAUAGAUCGUCUUACAUGAGGAUUAAACUACAAUACUACAUAUGAUUAUAAUCCGGAAGUAAAGGUGUAUCUUGGUAAGGCUUGACGAGGCGUUACACUUGU